UCAAGAUGAUCAGGGAAAAGAGGGAAAAGCGGCUGGCAGAACUAGGUGACGCAUAUAGAUCGCCUUACUGCAACAGGGUAACCAACCUAUAUGAGCCACUUUUGGUACGUGACCAAAACAUCAUCUGUUAUCUCUUAGCUCCGAUGGGAGAUAUUGGGACAUUGAUAUACAAGUCUGACAGUGGAGUCGAAGCGCUUAAAAUCAUAUUUGAAACCUUCCACCCAUCGCAAUACAUAUCAUAUGGUGGAAUGGACACAUUUGUAGAUGUUUUAAACUUUGAAGAGAAAAAAA